rnacentral:rRNA from 1 species
UGGGGGAUAUUGGACAAUGGGGGGAACCCUGAUCCAGCGACGCCGCGUGAGUGAAGAAGUAUCUCGGUAUGUAAAGCUCUAUCAGCAGGGAAGAAAGAAAUGACGGUACCUGAGUAAGAAGCCCCGGCUAACUACGUGCCAGCAGCCGCGGUAAUACGUAGGGGGCAAGCGUUAUCCGGAAUUACUGGGUGUAAAGGGAGCGUAGACGGUGAUGUAAGUCUGGAGUGAAAGGCGGGGGCCCAACCCCCGGACUGCUCUGGAAACUAUAUGACUGGAGUGCAGGAGAGGUGAGCGGAAUUCCUA